GGUGGCCGACUCCAAUUAAAUCAAGGAAUUAACUCAGCCUUGAAGAGUUUAAUUGAAAAUAAAACUCUGGUAGGUUGGAGCUAAUUUUAUGCGAUGGGAUCAGCUAGGAAAAGGGGGAUAAGAUCAAACUUAAUUUUCAAUUGUUGGAGGUUAAAAUCCCAUAAAUAGAGAUGACAGCAGCUAAAGGGGGGGUGGAAGAAAAAAACCAGAGAAAGAACAGAGCAAAAAGGCGUGACUCGAGCAAGCAAAACUCCUGAAAUUGAACCAGCAAAGGACGACCAAGGAGUUGAAGAAGCAGCCCGAAAUUUCAGCUAUUUGAGAGAAGGGGAAGCUCGACAACUUGAGGAAUUUUCCUUUCCAAAAUUCAGUUUGUAAUUCAUGUGUUUACAAAUUGAUUCUUGUUUUAUUUUACUUGUUAUGAGCAGCUAAUUUACUUAAGCUUAGUUAGACUCUUAUGAAAUCGAGCACAAGUGAUUUGAAGGUUUACUUUGUUCUAAAUUUGAAUUCGGCAUUCUUGAAUUGUUUGAUUUUAUCGUCCAAGGAAUUUUUCUAAGUCAAUUGGAUUGAUCACCUUUUUAAUUUGGGAAUUUUUCUUAUAAUCAUCUAUGUGCUAAUUGAGAAAUCGAAUUUCUUAAUUAAGCUUAGAAUUAGUGAUAAUUAAUUGGCCGCAGCUAAUUACGAC
rnacentral:lncRNA from 1 species